rfam:Arabis alpina cultivar Pajares chromosome 8, whole genome shotgun sequence.
CUUCUGCUAUGAUGAUUUUGAAUAUAUUCACAUGUCAGACUUCAGAGAUUUUAGAAUCAAUGAGAAUACCAAUUCAGUUUUCUGAGCAGAAG